AACGAACGCUGGCGGCAUGCCUAACACAUGCAAGUCGAACGAGACCUUCGGGUCUAGUGGCGCACGGGAGCGUAACGCGUGGGAACCUGCCCUUAGGUUCGGAAUAACUCCCCGAAAGGGGUGCUAAUACCGGAUAAUGUCUUCGGACCAAAGAUUUAUCGCCUUGGGAUGGGCCCGCGUUGGAUUAGCUAGUUGGUAGGGUAAAAGCCUACCAAGGCGACGAUCCAUAGCUGGUCUGAGAGGAUGGUCAGCAACACUGGGACUGAGACACGUCCCAGACUCCUACGGGAGGCAGCAGGGGUGAACAUUGGACACUGGGUGAAAGCCUGAUCCAGCCAUGCCGCGUGAGUGAUGAAGGCCUUAGGGUUGUAAAGCUCUUUUACACGGGAUGAUAAUGACAGUACCGGGAGAAUAAGCGCCGGCUAACCCCGUG
rnacentral:rRNA from 1 species